CAAAGAUGUUCUAAGGGCAGAAAGGAAAAUGAUUGGUUGACAGAUUCAACCAAUGAAAUUGAAGCAGAGGCGGGGUCAGGAAAUUUGGACGUGUGGAGGGAAUACUUCAGACAGAAACGUUAGCGCUUCGUGGGAGGCAUUUGUUGCAAGAUGCUGUGCAGUGAGAUGGUCAGUGAUGUAGUGUUCCUGGCAUGGAAGUUUCCUGCACAAAAGAAAGUGGUCCAGAAAAUAUAUGAAAAUGAGGAUGUUCAUGAUUCAAUAUCCCAUACUAAAUAGUUUAGUUGCAGGAAGACCUUACAAAGAUUUCUGGAGACUGAGAGACUGGCUUUGAGAAGAUAUUUGGAAAAGCAACCUCUGACUUUGGGCUUGGUUUAAAGGAGCCUGUUCAAAUUUUUAUACAUGCAUUUAACUCACUGGAUUUGUUUGUAAUUUGUAAUUGUAUAAAAAAAGAAAGAAGU